rnacentral:rRNA from 1 species
UUCUCCUGAUUUGGCCUUGAGGUCACACCUCUUCCCAUUCCGAACAGAGAAGUUAAGCUUAAGCGCGGCGAUGAUACUGCAUUUAUGCGGGAAAGUAGCUUGUCGGGAGAAC